rnacentral:rRNA from 1 species
AACGCUGGCGGCGUGCUUAACACAUGCAAGUCGAACGGAAAGGCCCUGCUUUUGUGGGGUGCUCGAGUGGCGAACGGGUGAGUAACACGUGAGUAACCUGCCCUUGACUUUGGGAUAACUUCAGGAAACUGGGGCUAAUACCGGAUAGGAGCUCCUGCUGCAUGGUGGGGGUUGGAAAGUUUCGGCGGUUGGGGAUGGACUCGCGGCUUAUCAGCUUGUUGGUGGGGUAGUGGCUUACCAAGGCUUUGACGGGUAGCCGGCCUGAGAGGGUGACCGGCCACAUUGGGACUGAGAUACGGCCCAGACUCCUACGGGAGGCAGCAGUGGGGAAUAUUGCACAAUGGGCGGAAGCCUGAUGCAGCAACGCCGCGUGCGGGAUGACGGCCUUCGGGUUGUAAACCGCUUUCGCCUGUGACGAAGCGUGAGUGACGGUAAUGGGUAAAGAAGCACCGGCUAACUACGUGCCAGCAGCCGCGGUGAUACGUAGGGUGCGAGCGUUGUCCGGAUUUAUUGGGCGUAAAGGGCUCGUAGGUGGUUGAUCGCGUCGGAAGUGUAAUCUUGGGGCUUAACCCUGAGCGUGCUUUCGAUACGGGUUGACUUGAGGAAGGUAGGGGAGAAUGGAAUUCCUGGUGGAGCGGUGGAAUGCGCAGAUAUCAGGAGGAACACCAGUGGCGAAGGCGGUUCUCUGGGCCUUUCCUGACGCUGAGGAGCGAAAAGCGUGGGGAGCGAACAGGCUUAGAUACCCUGGUAGUCCACGCUGUAAACGGUGGGUACUAGGUGUGGGGUCCAUUCCACGGGUUCCGUGCCGUAGCUAACGCUUUAAGUACCCCGCCUGGGGAGUACGGCCGCAAGGCUAAAACUCAAAGGAAUUGACGGGGCCCCGCACAAGCGGCGGAGCAUGCGGAUUAAUUCGAUGCAACGCGUAGAACCUUACCUGGGUUUGACAUGGAUCGGGAGUGCUCAGAGAUGGGUGUGCCUCUUUUGGGGUCGGUUCACAGGUGGUGCAUGGCUGUCGUCAGCUCGUGUCGUGAGAUGUUGGGUUAAGUCCCGCAACGAGCGCAACCCUUGUUCACUGUUGCCAGCACGUUAUGGUGGGGACUCAGUGGAGACCGCCGGGGUCAACUCGGAGGAAGGUGGGGAUGACGUCAAGUCAUCAUGCCCCUUAUGUCCAGGGCUUCACGCAUGCUACAAUGGCUGGUACAGAGAGUGGCGAGCCUGUGAGGGUGAGCGAAUCUCGGAAAGCCGGUCUCAGUUCGGAUUGGGGUCUGCAACUCGACCUCAUGAAGUCGGAGUCGCUAGUAAUCGCAGAUCAGCAACGCUGCGGUGAAUACGUUCCCGGGGCUUGUACACACCGCCCGUCAAGUCAUGAAAGUUGGUAACACCCGAAGCCGGUGGCCUAACCGUUGUGGGGGAGCCGUCGAAGGUGGGACUGGUGAUUAGGACUAAG